UACUUGCAAGCAAAAUAACGAUUGCUUCCUGGCAUGAAAUUGCCAGCUAAGGCAAACAAGGGAUGUGGAUGCCUACAUAAACUGUACUUAGCGUGUAAAGGCACGCGAUAAGAAUAUAGAUAUGCGACAUCAGGUGCAUUUUGUUGCGACCGCUGGCCACCGCCAAAAAAAUGUCGUCCCUUUGCUAUAAUAUUAACAGCUCACCACCAUGCAUGCUGUCAUCACUGAAAAGGAUGACCUUGACUCACUCCAAUCAGAGGGCUGGGUGAGUACACGUGAAAAAGCUUCCUUACGUCAGCGGCACCUGUAGUCGAGCUUCGAAACGAGUGGACGAAAUCCCCUUUCUUAGGCGCUGAAGGAACAAAGUACGAAGGAAGACAUAAAGACGCGUUGCCCAGCAUUCCGAUCACUCGCAACUUUCUCAGCUGGCUGAAGGCUGCCUGGAAGUUCUUCAACUCGUCUGUCCUAAAGCCCCGUCUCCGAGCCUACCGCGACGACGCCACGAUGCAGCCAUUUUCUGCCGUCGCCAUGAAGCUCUUCUUGUUCGCCGCCAUAUUGGCUGCAAUGCUGUUGCUUGUCCAAGGGCAAACUCUUGACUACAUACGCGGUGGCGGAGGGGGAGGUCCCAAACACACUUGAGUCUGCUGAUGGCACCCUCCGAUUUUACAAGGCUCAACCGACAACACUGACAUGGACGACACAAGGUCAUUCCACUUGGCUGAGCACUACAACGAUGUCGUAUGCAUCUUCGUGAGCAUUCAAUAAAGCACUGCAACGCUGCAAAAAAAA